rnacentral:lncRNA from 1 species
AGAGAGAGGCACCACGGGUCCCUGGAUCUAUGGAAUUAACACAAUACCUCUGAGGCUGCAUAAGCCUGGAGGGAGGGGGCAGGGAGCAAACUUGAGGUUUUGACUUUCAACCUGGUCCCUUCCUAGGUGAUGUCCCUGGGACUCUAGUAGAAAAUAAACAGCCCUGUCUAGAUUUCUCAGCUGCCUCACUCCCUAUACACAUGG